rnacentral:rRNA from 1 species
UGCGUAGGCGGAUAGAUAAGUCAGAGGUGAAAGCCCACAGCUCAACUGUGGAAUUGCCUUUGAUACUGUUUAUCUUGAAUAAGGUUGAGGUUAGCGGAAUGUGGCAUGUAGCGGUGAAAUGCAUAGAUAUGCCAUAGAACACCAAUUGCGUAGGCAGCUAGCUAGGCCUUUAUUGACGCUGAGGCACGAAAGCAGUGGGGAGCGAACA